rnacentral:rRNA from 1 species
AGUGAACGCUGGCGGUAGGCCUAACACAUGCAAGUCGAACGGCAGCACAGUAAGAGCUUGCUCUUACGGGUGGCGAGUGGCGGACGGGUGAGGAAUACAUCGGAAUCUACAUUUUCGUGGGGGAUAACGUAGGGAAACUUACGCUAAUACCGCAUACGACCUACGGGUGAAAGCAGGGGAUCUUCGGACCUUGCGCGAUUGAAUGAGCCGAUGUCGGAUUAGCUAGUUGGCGGGGUAAAGGCCCACCAAGGCGACGAUCCGUAGCUGGUCUGAGAGGAUGAUCAGCCACACUGGAACUGAGACAAGGUCCAGACUCCUACGGGAGGCAGCAGUGGGGAAUAUUGGACAAUGGGCGCAAGCCUGAUCCAGCCAUACCGCGUGGGUGAAGAAGGCCUUCGGGUUGUAAAGCCCUUUUGUUGGGAAAGAAAAGCAGCAGGUUAAUACCCCGCUGUUCUGACGGUACCCAAAGAAUAAGCACCGGCUAACUUCGUG